rnacentral:tRNA from 1 species
GGGCGGUUAGCUCAGUGGUAGAGCACUGCUUUCACACGGCAGGGGUCACAAGUUCGAAACUUGUACCGCCCACCA